CCUUCUAUGAUGAUUUUAUCAAAAUGACUUUCGUUCUUCUGAGUGUGCUGAAGCCACAUUUUAGGUACUGAGAAGG
ensembl:snoRNA SNORD59A small nucleolar RNA, C/D box 59A